rnacentral:rRNA from 1 species
AUUGAACGCUGGCGGCAGGCCUAACACAUGCAAGUCGAGCGGCAGCGGGAAAGUAGCUUGCUACUUUUGCCGGCGAGCGGCGGACGGGUGAGUAAUGCCUGGGAAAUUGCCCAGUCGAGGGGGAUAACAGUUGGAAACGACUGCUAAUACCGCAUACGCCCUACGGGGGAAAGCAGGGGACCUUCGGGCCUUGCGCGAGUGGAAAUGCACUGGUGGGAUUAGCUAGUUGGUGAGGUAAUGGCUCACCAAGGCGACGAUCCCUAGCUGGUCUGAGAGGAUGAUCAGCCACACUGGAACUGAGACACGGUCCAGACUCCUACGGGAGGCAGCAGUGGGGAAUAUUGCACAAUGGGGGAAACCCUGAUGCAGCCAUGCCGCGUGUGUGAAGAAGGCCUUCGGGUUGUAAAGCACUUUCAGCGAGGAGGAAAGGUCAGUAGCUAAUAUCUGCUGACUGUGACGUUACUCGCAGAAGAAGCACCGGCUAACUCCGUGCCAGCAGCCGCCGUAAAAC